AGCGAACGCUGGCGGCAGGCUUAACACAUGCAAGUCGAACGCUCAUCUUCGGAUGGGAGUGGCAGACGGGUGAGUAACACGUGGGAACGUACCCUUCGAUCUGGGAUAACUUCGGGAAACUGGAGCUAAUACCGGAUACGCCCUUUUGGGGAAAGGUUUACUGUCGAAGGAUCGGCCCGCGUCUGAUUAGCUAGUUGGUGGGGUAACGGCCUACCAAGGCGACGAUCAGUAGCUGGUCUGAGAGGAUGAUCAGCCACACUGGGACUGAGACACGGCCCAGACUCCUACGGGAGGCAGCAGUGGGGAAUAUUGGACAAUGGGCGCAAGCCUGAUCCAGCCAUGCCGCGUGAGUGAUGAAGGCCUUAGGGUUGUAAAGCUCUUUUGUCCGGGACGAUAAUGACGGUACCG
rnacentral:rRNA from 1 species